rnacentral:tRNA from 1 species
UGGGUUGUGGCUCAGAGGUAGAGCACUCGCCUAAUAAGUGCGGGGCCCUGGCUUCAAUUCUCAGCACCACAA